GUACAAUCGAGUGUUUUAAGUACUCUACUGCAAUAGAGCUAUAUGCACUGACUGUUGUUGUACCAAAAAGGAAGGAAUCUCCUUCUGAAAGAAAAAACAAAAUUAAACAUCCAGAACACUGCCAACCAAGAAAGCUACAUCAUGCUAAGCUAUCCUACGGAAAUGAAGGAGAGGUAAAAACUUCCCCUGAUAAACAGAUGCUGAGGACAUUUAUCAUCAGUAGAUCUGCCUUAUAAGAAAUGUUAAAGUGAAUUCUUACAGUCGGAUCAAAAGGAUGCUAAAUAACAAUAUGAACACAAAGGAAAGCAUACAACUCACUGGUUAAGGAUGUCAUUAAUACCACAGAGGGACUUGGAAUAGUUGAUUUUGACACGUCUAAGGUCCUUUUUUGUUCUUAAAAUUCAAUCAAUAUGAGUUUUCACAGAUUCUGGGAUGCCAUUUUUCUUGCCUAUUAAUUCGUUUGGGUUCUGAUUCCUGAGUCAUAUAACUAUUCAAUCCGGGUAAAACCAGAUUGUGUGGCUAGAACUAACUAAAUGAUUUUGUUCCACCUUCAGAUACUAACUGGAUAUUCCUUCCUUUACAUGUCUCCUUUGCUUCAUGCUCAGGGACUCACCCUGCUUCCAUAACGUUUUAGGUGCUGCCACACAUGCCCAACAUUUCUGAGCCCACUUCUCCCCCAAAUCUAGCUGAAGAGUGUGAC
rnacentral:lncRNA from 1 species